AGUUGAGCGGAGAUAUAUGGAGCUUGCUUUAUAUAACUUAGCAGCGAACGGGUGAGUAACACGUAGAUAAUCUAUCCUAUACUGGGGGAUAGCCCGAUGAAAGUUGGAUUAAUACCGCAUAUAGCUAUAUAGUUGCAUGAUUAUGUAGUGAAAGAUUUAUUGGUAUAGGAGGAGUCUGCGGCACAUUAGCUAGUAGGUGAGGUAAAGGCUUACCUAGGCGACGAUGUGUAGCCGGUCUGAGAGGAUGAACGGCCACAAUGGAACUGAGACACGGUCCAUACUCCUACGGGAGGCAGCAGUGGGGAAUAUUGCACAAUGGGGGAAACCCUGAUGCAGCAACGCCGCGUGAGUGAAGAAGGUUUUCGGAUUGUAAAGCUCUGUUAGCAGGGAAGAGGAAGGACGGUACCUGCAGAGGAAGCCACGGCUAACUACGUGCCAGCAGCCGCGGUAAUACGUAGGUGGCAAGCGUUGUUCGGAAUAACUGGGCGUAAAGGAUGCGUAGGCGGUUAAACAAGUUAUAUGUUAAAUAUAUAGGCUUAACCUGUAGAAAGCAUAUAAAACUGUUUAACUAGAGUGCAGGAGAGGUAAGUGGAAUUCCUAGUGUAGCGGUGAAAUGCGUAGAGAUUAGGAAGAACACCAGUGGCGAAGGCGACUUACUGGACUGUAACUGACGCUGAGGCAUGAGAGCAUGGGGAGCAAACAGGAUUAGAUACCCUGGUAGUCCAUGCUGUAAACGAUGGGUACUANGUGUGGGUUGUGAAUNACAAUUCGUGCCGUCGCAAA
rnacentral:rRNA from 1 species